GGAUGUGAGGGCAGUCUGGCUGUGACAUCUGUCACCCAUUGAUCACCAGGGUUGAUACGGCUGAUCUGGCUGGCUGGGCGGGUGUCCCCUUCCUCCCUCACUGCUCCAUGUGCGUCCCUCCCGAAGCUGCGCACUCAGUCGAGGAGGAUGGUCAUCCCUGAUAGGGGAGGACCGUUCUUCGGUCAAGGGUAUACAGGUAGCUGUGCUCUCCUGCUAGAACCUCCAGAUAAGCUCUCAAGAACAUGCUGGCCAGCACCUUGGAGGCUCAUGUAGACAGGGUCAGCCCUACAGUUCAGAACUCAACCUUUUGGACGUCUGGCUCCUUUGG
rfam:Sus scrofa isolate TJ Tabasco breed Duroc chromosome 18, whole genome shotgun sequence.